rnacentral:rRNA from 1 species
UUUGCCUACGGGAGGCAGCAGUGGGGAAUAUUGCGCAAUGGGCGAAAGCCUGACGCAGCGACGCCGCGUGAGGGAUGAAGGUCUUCGGAUCGUAAACCUCUGUCAGCAGGGAAGAAGAAGGACGGUACCUGACCAAGAAGCCCCGGCUAACUACGUGCCAGCAGCCGCGGUAAUACGUAGGGGGCAAGCGUUAUCCGGAUUUACUGGGUGUAAAGGGUGCGCAGACGGCGAUGCAAGCCAGGAGUGAAAGCUC